ACCCUAAAUCACCACACUUCAAGACCACAAUGCCAAAGCGAGGCAAGUCUACUUCUCCUAUUUCUCCCAAAAUCAGUAGAUCCUACUCAAUUAUCAAAGCCCCUUAAUUUUUAAAUUGAUUUUUUGGCAAAAUAAUGUACAGGACGCGGAGGUUCCGCCGGGAACAAAUUUCGUAUGUCACUGGGUUUACCGGUGGCGGCUACAGUCAAUUGUGCCGAUAACACUGGAGCUAGGAACCUUUACAUAAUCUCAGUAAAGGGUAUAAAGGGUAGGUUGAAUAGGUUGCCAUCAGCUUGUGUAGUUGAUAUGGUGAUGGCUACUGUAAAGAAAGGGAAGCCUGAUUUAAGGAAGAAAGUUAUGCCUGCUGUUAUUGUUAGACAGCGCAAACCUUGGCGACGAAAGGAUGGUGUUUUCAUGUACUUUGAAGGAUGAUGUGAUGCAUCCUUGAACCAGCAAAAAUGAACAAUUGGAUAUUUAAUCGAGUGGGAUCUCCUCAGGCAUGAAGAUAGCCUUAUCCGCUUGAGUAAGGCGUGUUUGUAUAAUUUUGAAGCUUAGGAUUGUCACAGUGGCAGUUAAAAUUGUUGUUUGGAGAGUAACAAGUCAUUUUGCAAUAUGAUGUUUUCCCCUUUAUUAUAAGUUACCUAGCAGGAAAUUUUGAACCAGACUUAGUCAGUCAGGUAACAACCUCUUAUACUGUGGUUGAUACAGUUACAUGCCUGGAAAAUCGAAGUGUCCAUCGUUACAGAUAAUGCUGGUGUUAUUGUGAAUCCCAAGGGAGAAAUGAAAAGGUUCUGCUAUCACUGGUCCAAUUGGAAAGGAGUGUGCUGAUUUAUGGCCAAGGAUUGCUAGUGCAGCUAAUGCAAUUGUCUGAACAAAGAUUUAAUAUGCUGAUUUUGAAACUGUUAGUAUUAAUGUUUCACAUAUAAAAACAAAUGUAACGAUGUUGUAUUGCUCGGAGAGUUUCAACAAGUUCAUAUACCAAUUAUUUUUUCGCUUAAUACCAAGACUUUGUUUAAUUGUUAAUAAUAUUCAGUUUGUCAAAGUUUUAUAGA